rnacentral:rRNA from 1 species
UACAGAGGGUGCAAGCGUUGUUCGGAAUUAUUGGGCGUAAAGGGCGCGUAGGCGGUGCGGUAAGUCUGUAGUGAAAUCUCUGGGCUCAACUCAGAGUCUGCUAUAGAAACUGCCGUGCUUGAGUGUGGGAGAGGUGAGUGGAAUUUCCGGUGUAGCGGUGAAAUGCGUAGAUAUCGGAAGGAACACCUGUGGCGAAAGCGGCUCACUGGACCAUUACUGACACUGAGGUACGAAAGCUAGGGGAGCAAACAGG